rnacentral:lncRNA from 1 species
CUAGUGUCCUCGCGAAGGGUGCGGAGCACCCUAACUUGCACUCGCACUCGCACACGCGCGCGCGUGGCGUGGGCCAUGAGGUGCAAUGUGGCGUUUUGAUGGCGCACUUUGCACUUCGCAUCGCCGCGGGCCGCCGCCUUUGUAUUUUUGACUGCGCGCGCGUGGUGGAGCACAAGGGUUGCAAGGACCAAGUGGUAGGUGAUGCGGCGCAUGCGCGCGCGAGUAUACAUGGCGCGCGGUUGCGCGCAUGGUGCAUGGGUCCUGCUGUGCCGUGCGCGGCGCACCAGAGUGAGCCAAUACGGCACGACUGUGUGGCGCGCUCGUAUAGGCUCACAGGUGACGUGGCGCACGCGCGCAUGGACUUGGGCCAAGAGGACCCACCGCGCAUGGUGGCAUGGCGUAUGCGCGCAUGGACUUGAGCCAAGAGGACGCACCGCGCAUGGUGGCAUGGCGCAUGCGCGCAUGGCCAGUGAGCCAAGAGGACGCACCGCGCAUGGACGUGCAGACCUGGGCGCGCGCGCACCAGAGUGACGCGCACAGAAGCUUCCAGC